rnacentral:ncRNA from 2 species
CUUGGGGCUUAAUAGGACUCAACACGGGAAAACUUACCAGGUCCGAACUUAUUGAGGUAAGAUAGAUUAAGAGCUCUUUCCCAAAUUUCGGGGUAUUGGUGCAUGGCCGUGAUGGUAUAAUGGGUGCGGUCUUCAUACGGG